rnacentral:rRNA from 1 species
UACGUAGGGUGCAAGCGUUGUCCGGAAUUAUUGGGCGUAAAGAGCUUGUAGGCGGUUUGUCGCGUCUGCUGUGAAAUUUCGGGGCUCAACCCCGAACUUGCAGUGGGUACGGGCAGACUAGAGUGUGGUAGGGGAGACUGGAAUUCCUGGUGUAGCAGUGAAAUGCGCAGAUAUCAGGAGGAACACCGGUGGCGAAGGCGGGUCUCUGGGCCGAUACUGACGCUGAGGAGCGAAAGCGUGGGGAGCGAACAGG